rnacentral:sRNA from 1 species
UGAGUGGCUGCGUUUUCGUUGACGUUC